rnacentral:misc_RNA from 1 species
GAUGAAGAACGCAGCGAAAUGCGAUACGUAAUGUGAAUUGCAGAUUUCAGUGAAUCAUCGAAUCUUUGAACGCACAUUGCGCCCGUCAGUAUUCUGGCGGGCAUGCCUGUUCGAGCGUCAUUACGCCCCUCAAGUCCCCUGUGGACUUGGUGUUGGGGAUCGGCGAGGCUGGUUUUCCAGCACAGCCGUCCCUUAAAUUAAUUGGCGGUCUCGCCGUGGCCCUCCUCUGCGCAGUAGUAAAACACUCGCAACAGGAGCCCGGCGCGGUCCACUGCCGUAAAACCCCCCAACUUUUUAUAGUUGACCUCGAAUCAGGUAGGACUACCCGCUGAACUUAAGCAUAUCAAUAAGCGGAGGA